UUGGAGGGCAAGUCUGGUGCCAGCAGCCGCGGUAAUUCCAGCUCCAAUAGCGUAUAUUAAAGUUGUUGCAGUUAAAAAGCUCGUAGUUGAAUUUCGGGGUCAGUAGGUUGGUCAUGCCACAGGUAUGUACUGGUCUCACUGAUUCCUCCUUCCUGAUGAACUGUAAUGCCAUUAAUUUGGUGUUGCAGGGAAUCUGGACUGUUACUUUGAAAAAAUCAGAGUGUUUAAAGCAGGCUAACGCCUGAAUACAUUAGCAUGGAAUAAUGAAAUAGGACGUUCGAUCCUAUUUUGUUGGUUUCUAGGAUUGACGUAAUGAUUAAUAGGGAUAGUUGGGGGCAUUAGUAUUCAAUUGUCAGAGGUGAAAUUCUUGGAUUUAUUGAAGACUAACUACUGCGAAAGCAUUUGCCAAGGAUGUUUUCAUUAAUCAAGAACGAAAGUUAGGGGAUCGAAGACGAUCAGAUACCGUCGUAGUCUUAACCAUAAACUAUGCCGACUAGGGAUCGGAUGAUGUUAAUUUUUUAAUGACUCAUUCGGCGCCUUACGGGAAAC
rnacentral:rRNA from 1 species